GGGCCCGCACAAGCGGUGGAUUAUGUGGAUUAAUUCGAUGCAACGCGAAAAAACCUUACCUGGCCUUGACAUGUACCGAAUUUAGCAGAGAUGCUUUAGUGCUCGAAAAGAGAACGGUAACACAGGUGCUGCAUGGCUGUCGUCAGCUCGUGUCGUGAGAUGUUGGGUUAAGUCCCGCAACGAGCGCAACCCUUGCCAUUAAUUGCCAUCAUUUAGUUGGGCACUUUAAUGGGACUGCCGGUGACAAAUCGGAGGAAGGUGGGGAUGACGUCAAGUCCUCAUGGCCCUUAUGGCCAGGGCUUCACACGUAAUACAAUGGUCGGUACAGAGGGAAGCCAACCCGCGAGGGGGAGCCAA
rnacentral:rRNA from 1 species